rnacentral:rRNA from 1 species
UACGUAGGGUGCGAGCGUUGUCCGGAAUUAUUGGGCGUAAAGGGCUCGUAGGCGGUUUGUCGCGUCAGGAGUGAAAACUCGGGGCUUAACCCCGAGCCUGCUUCUGAUACGGGCAGACUAGAGGUAGGCAGGGGAGAACGGAAUUCCUGGUGUAGCGGUGAAAUGCGCAGAUAUCAGGAGGAACACCGGUGGCGAAGGCGGUUCUCUGGGCCUAUCCUGACGCUGAGGAGCGAAAGUGUGGGGAGCGAACAGG